UGAGUAACGCGUAAGAACCUGCCCUUGGGAGGGGAACAACAACUGGAAACGGUUGCUAAUACCCCGUAGGCUAAUCAGACGCGAGCCCCUCCUUGGGCGGAUUUCUCCUUUUGCUCCUCAGCCUACGGGGUAUUUUCCGCAAUGGGCGAAAGCCUGACGGAGCAAUGCCGCGUGGAGGUGGAAGGCCUACGGGUCGUCAACUUCUUUUCUCGGAGAAGAAACAAUGACGGUAUCUGAGGAAUAAGCAUCGGCUAACUCUGUGCCAGCAGCCGCGGUAAGACAGAGGAUGCAAGCGUUAUUCGGAAUGAUUAGGCGUAAAGAGUUUGUAGGUGGUUUUUUAAGUUGAAAGAAACAAAUUAAAGCUCAACUUUAUACAUUUUUUCAAAACUGAUAAACUAGAGUAUAAAUAGAGGAUAAUGGAAUUUCUAUUGGAGUGAUAAAAUACGUUGAUAAUAGAAGGAAGGCCUAUGGCGAAGGCAAUUAUCUGGGUAUAUACUGACACUGAGAAACGAAAGCUUGGGUAGCGAACGGGAUUAGAUACCCCGGUAGUCCAUGCCGUAAACGAUGAGUGCUAAUAUUUAGAAUUUYUAGAUAUAACAGCUAACGCGUUAAGCACUCCGACCUGAAAAGUAUAAUCGCAAGAUUGAAAUUCAAAGGAAGUUGACGGGAGUCUACACAAGCGGUGGAGCAUGUGGUUUAAUUCGAUAAUACGCGCAAAACCUUACCAGCCCUUGACAUAUGAACAACAAAACCUGUCCUUAACGGGAUGGUACUGACUUUCAUACAGGUGCUGCAUGGCUGUCGUCAGCUCGUGUCGUGAGAUGUUUGGUCAAGUCCUAUAACGAGCGAAACCCUCGUUUUGUGUUGCUGAGACAUGCGCCUAAGGAGAAAUAGCCGAGGAGCCGAGUGACGUGCCAGCGCUACUACUUGAUUGAGUGCCAGCACGUAGCUGUGCUUUCAGCAAGAAUUUCACCAUUGGGAGCCGGUGCCUUUCGAAGCACUUUCACGUGUGAACCGAAGUCGUCUUGCCGAACUCAAGACCCACGGAGACCUACACAAUAGGACCGGAAUCCUAUGAUGUUAUCCCACUGCUAAUGUAUCC
rnacentral:rRNA from 1 species